rnacentral:rRNA from 1 species
GACUAGUUGUGGGGUCCAUUCCACGGAUUCCGUGACGCAGCUAACGCAUUAAGUUCCCCGCCUGGGGAGUACGGCCGCAAGGCUAAAACUCAAAGGAAUUGACGGGGACCCGCACAAGCGGCGGAGCAUGCGGAUUAAUUCGAUGCAACGCGAAGAACCUUACCAAGGCUUGACAUACACGAGAACGCUGCAGAAAUGUAGAACUCUUUGGACACUCGUGAACAGGUGGUGCAUGGUUGUCGUCAGCUCGUGUCGUGAGAUGUUGGGUUAAGUCCCGCAACGAGCGCAACCCUCGUUCUAUGUUGCCAGCACGUAAUGGUGGGAACUCAUGGGAUACUGCCGGGGUCAACUCGGAGGAAGGUGGGGAUGACGUCAAAUCAUCAUGCCCCUUAUGUCUUGGGCUUCACGCAUGCUACAAUGGCCGGUACAAAGGGCUGCAAUACCGUAAGGUGGAGCGAAUCCCAAAAAGCCGGUCCCAGUUCGGAUUGAGGUCUGCAACUCGACCUCAUGAAGUCGGAGUCGCUAGUAAUCGCAGAUCAGCAACGCUGCGGUGAAUACGUUCCCGGGUCUUGUACACACCGCCCGUCAAGUCAUGAAAGUCGGUAACACCUGAAGCCGGUGGCCCAACCCUUGUGGAGGGAGCCGUCGAAGGUGGGAUCGGUAAUUAGGACUAAGUCGUAACAAGGUAACCA